rnacentral:rRNA from 1 species
UGAGUAACCUGCCCUUCACUUUGGGAUAAACCCUCGGGAAACGGGGGCUAAUACCGGAUAUGACAUUUCACCGCAUGGUGUGGGUGUGGAAAGUUUUUCGGUGGGGGAUGGGCUCGCGGCCUAUCAGCUUGUUGGUGGGGUGAUGGCCUACCGAAGGCGACGACGGGUAGCCGGCCUGAGAGGGCGACCGGCCACACUGGGACUGAGACACGGCCCAGACUCCUACGGGAGGCA